rnacentral:tRNA from 1 species
GCCCGGCUAGCUCAGUCUGUAGAGCAUGAGACUCUUAAUCUCAGAGUUGAGGGUUCGAGCCCCACGUUGGGCG